UACGUAGGGACCAAGCGUUGUUCGGAUUUACUGGGCGUAAAGGGCGCGUAGGCGGGCUACGUUCGAAAGCAUCGAUCGAUUGUCGUUAAAGUUCGUCCGAAAAGCUUUCAAUCCCGGGUCCGGUUAAAACCCCGGGGUACGCGAAAGCCAAUGGAUUGAAUACCUUGGUUCCGGGUGACCUUCGAAGGAUGGUACCAGGGAAAAGGGGGGG
rnacentral:rRNA from 1 species